rnacentral:lncRNA from 1 species
GACUGAACUGGCAGGUCCACACAGAUAGACUUCUGACCUAGAGCUUCCCUAUUAUUAAAAAACUAAGUUGUCUUGUAUUUUGGCUUAUAGUUUGUAGUGGUUUUCCCCUUCAAAUCUGCUUGCAUGAAGAGAUAUUCAAUGUGACAAUCAAAUUACUAAAAUACAGUUACAUGAUUACAGCAAAUUAUGAUAAGGGGGGAAACCCUAGGUGUAGUAGCUGGGAAAUCGCCUUUGUUUACAGUAUUUAUGAAUAACUUUUUAAUACUUAGAGCCAUAUCCUAAUGGGGUGAAGGCCAUUUUUGUUUAACUAGUUCAUGGUUCCUUGGAUUUAAUAGCUUCUUAGCCUGUGAAAUCAGAAUUAGAUCACAGGUGUGAUAGCCUUUUAAAGUAUGCCUUACUGUGUGGCUGGGGAGCUAGUCCAAUAGAUAAAGCACUAGCAGACAAUGAAAACCAGCAUUCAGACCCUUAAAAAUGGGUGGAUAUGUAGGCCAAGUGUAAUCCUUGCACUGGGAAUGUAGAGAUAGUAUCCCACAAAGCAAGCUGGCCAAAUUGUAAACUCUAGGUUCAGUGUAAGACCCUGCAUAAAUACAAGGUGGUGAGCCAUCUGGAAAGAUACUUGAUUUUAGCAUCUUACACAUAAAAGAGCACAGAACGUUUUUGGUUUUUUAUUUUUUAAGUUUACCAGUGCUAUUUCAUCUUUAUUCAAUGUUUGCUUUAUGCCAUCUUAGGAUUAUGGAAUCAGGGUUGGCUAUGUGCCUGUUCUUUCAUAGGAGAUACUCUGGGAAGUGGGGUAAAACACAUCUCUGCCCUCAGAGCUUAGGAUAGUGUGUUUAUCAGUACACGAGGAUGGCUAGUCUUCCUCCCAGAUGAGAAGUUUUUAGUAACAGGUGAAAAUACAUUUAUUUUUUUUAAAUGAUGAUUAUAAAUGUGUAAUAAUGUCUUUACAAUUUUAUUCUUGAAAACAUUUGUAAUAAAAAGUAAGUAGUAGGAAAAUUUUAUAUAUCCCAUGAAGCCCAAAGGAAAAAUCCAGUGCUUGAAGAGGAAAGGGAGGGGGAGCAGUAUAUUACUGACAGAAGCGUGGGGGUUGUCAUGCUAGUGGUUUGCGUGCUGGUUUUGUUUUUAAAAAGUCAAGAAAUGGUCUGAAAUGUAUGAAAUGUAGUUAGGUCACCUCAGGUUUGGAAGGGAAUAGACCAAAUGGCCUUUAUGGGAUGUUUGUGUUACUAAGAGGUAGACUGUUUAUUCUGUCUUAAGU